rnacentral:rRNA from 1 species
CAGCCGCCACGGUAAUACAGAGGGUGCGAGCGUUAAUCGGAUUUACUGGGCGUAAAGCGUGCGUAGGCGGCUUUUUAAGUCGGAUGUGAAAUCCCUGAGCUUAACUUGGGAAUUGCAUUCGAUACUGGUUAGCUAGAGUGUGGGAGAGGAUGGUAGAAUUCCAGGUGUAGCGGUGAAAUGCGUAGAGAUCUGGAGGAAUACCGAUGGCGAAGGCAGCCAUCUGGCCUAACACUGACGCUGAGGUACGAAAGCAUGGGGAGCAAACAGGAUUAGAUACCCCAGUAGUCCCUGUCUCUUAUAC